rnacentral:misc_RNA from 1 species
AAUCUCAACCACCAGGGUUUCCUGAUGGCUUGGAUUUGGGUGCUUGCCUUUUGUAAGGCUCACCUUAAAGGAGUUAGCAUGAUGAGUAGUGAUCUGUCUGGUGUAAUAAGUUUCGCUGGACUAGCUAUGAAGCGUGCUUCUAAUCGCCUUUACAGGCAUGUUAUUAUGA